rnacentral:rRNA from 1 species
UAUGCCUACGGGAGGCAGCAGUGGGGAAUAUUGCGCAAUGGGCGAAAGCCUGACGCAGCGACGCCGCGUGAGGGGUGAAGGUCUUCGGAUCGUAAACCUCUGUCAGCAGGGAGGAACGGUCACUGUGCUAAUCAGCAGUGAAUUGACGGUACCUGCAAAGGAAGCACCGGCUAACUCCGUGCCAGCAGCCGCGGUAAUACGGAGGGCGCGAGCGUUAAUCGGAAUUACUGGGCGUAACGCGCGCGUAGGCGGUAUGUCAAGGCAAGGGUGA